rnacentral:rRNA from 1 species
UACGAAGGGGGCUAGCGUUGCUCGGAAUGACUGGGCGUAAAGGGCGCGUAGGCGGUUUGUACAGUCAGGUGUGAAAUUCCCGGGCUCAACCUGGGGGCUGCACUUGAUACGUAUGGACUGGAGUGGGGAAGAGGGUCGUGGAAUUCCCAGUGUAGAGGUGAAAUUCGUAGAUAUUGGGAAGAACACCGGUGGCGAAGGCGGCGACCUGGUCCUUGACUGACGCUGAGGCGCGAA